GUAGGGAAUAUUGGGCAAUGGAGGCAACUCUGACCCAGCCAUGCCGCGUGCAGGAUGACGGCCCUCUGGGUUGUAAACUGCUUUUAUACGGGAAGAAAAAAUACUACGUGUAGUAUACUGACGGUACCGUAAGAAUAAGGAUCGGCUAACUCCGUGCCAGCAGCCGCGGUAAUACGGAGGAUCCAAGCGUUGUCCGGAUUUAUUGGGUUUAAAGGGUGCGUAGGCGGAUCUUUAAGUCAGUGGUGAAAGCCUGCAGCUUAACUGUAGAAUUGCCAUUGAAACUGAAGAGCUUGAAUGUGGUUAAAGUAGGCGGAAUGUAUCAUGUAGCGGUGAAAUGCUUAGAUAUGAUACAGAACACCGAUAGCGAAGGCAGCUUGCUGAACCAUUAUUGACGCUGAGGCACGAAAGCGUGGGGAGCGAACAGGAUUAGAAACCCGUGUAGUCC
rnacentral:rRNA from 1 species